rnacentral:rRNA from 1 species
AGCUCCAAUAGCGUAUACUAAAGUUGUUGCAGUUAAAAAGCUCGUAGUUGGAUUUCUGCUCUGAGAAGGACGUCCGGGCGCUCAGCGUUGCGGUACAGUCCGUCUUGAGCAUCUUGCCAGAAACCCCGGCCUCAUUAACUUGGGGACGUUUGGGUGAAUGGCUCGUUUACUUUGAGAAAAAUAGAGUGUUCAAAGCAGGCAAAUGCCUUGAAUAAGUUAGCAUGGAAUAAUGAUAAAGAACUUCGGUUUUAUUUUGUUGGUGUUCUGAACUGAAGUAAUGAUUGAUAGGGACAGUUGGGGGCAUCAGUAUUCUGAAGCGAGAGGUGAAAUUCUGAAACCUUUGGAAGACUAACUGCUGCGAAAGCGUUUGCCAAGGAUGUUCCC